CCCCUGUUUGCCCUGAGCCGAGCCGGGAGAGCUGCGGGCCCUCCAGCCACGCCGAGCACAAAGGUCGUUUUCCAGCCCUAAUUAACGGUGUUAAGAGCUGCAGCGCCUGUGAGGAGCGUGAGGCUCUGUGCCUGUGCAGGGUUUGGGGUUAGAGCUGAGAAAAAAGGGAUUUGAGCUUCACAGCAGCUACAUCAGCUCGAGGCCUUCUACAGCUGCUUCGAGGUGUACUGGAGCUGUACUGGGAACAGCCUUUGGUGUUUCUCUGUGGGAAUUUUGCCUACGUGGGCAGCUGAAGAAGGAAUUUGUGAAGAUCUCCAGCACUUCUGGACACCCCGUAAAUCAGUCAGUGUCUCCACCAGGACUGCUGGACACCAGAGAUGAGGACCUCUGGGGCAGGGUGAAUCUGUAGUGCCUGUCACCCAAGGACCCCGUGUCCACGGCACAGUCAGAAAGCCAAGAGGAAAAUUCAAUUUUCCUGCUUAAAACAACUGGUGGGAGCCAUGGGAACAGCCUGGAAUCACAAAAAAAUGGGAGGCCAGCCUUGGUGCCAGCCUUUGUUGGUACCUGCUCUCAGCAAAGCACUGCUCAAUGUUAGCUCAGGUUCUCUGGGUUAUCAAAGAACCUAAAAAACAAGAUUUGCUAAUGAUCUUCUAUAUGUGAUGAAAAGAUUUCUCACAUGAAAGAGCUGGUGUCGGAGAAGAACACAGAAGCAACAGGCCUGGGGGAUUAUUUCCCAUCUAAAUUUAUCGUGCUCAAAGGUGCACGUUUUAAAAUAGGGAGCAGCUGAAGUGUGUGAGGGCUUGGGCUGGUGUGAGCUCUGUGCAGCUGGAGUUAUUUGUUACUGGGGCUGCCAGGCAUGGGAGGGUGUCAGCAAGAAGCCGGGACAGCUGGCUUGGAGAAGGGCACACGGGAGACGUGGGAGGAGGAAGAUUUACGUGAAGGAUGGCAGGGGCUGCACGCUUGGCCUGGGGACAGGGAGAGCGCAGCAAGCAGGUGUUGAGCUCCUAUCUCUGAGCAAGGACAGGAUCAGGCCCUAGCUGAGAGCUUUAAAUUGUUCUCGCCUUGUAAAUACUCAUAUGCAAAGUCUGCACCUCGUGCUACCCCAUAACCAGCUCUUUUCAGCUCCAGGACUGACCUCGAAGUGUUAUUGUGUCUUGCCUGACUGGAGGUGUGCGCUGAGGGUUUUCACAGAAGCAUAACUCAUCCUCCUUGGUUUUCUCGUGCAGUUCCUAAGCAGGAGCCAGGCUAAAGUACAGAGCGAAAGAGCAGCCCUUUGCCUGUGUUUGUAGCAGGCUCUUUGGAUUCCUGCCUUUAAGUCACACGGGGAUUUCAGCGUGAGGGUAACGGGGCACCAGAAGAGGAAAGAGCUGCAAUCCAGCAGAUGUUCCUCGCUGAUUUCUUCCUGAAGCAGCAGACCGCUGAGGCUGAGCCAGCACUGCAGACCUGGGAGCACCAGCAACAUGUGUGGUGCUUUUGGAUGCCCAAGGCUGCUUUCCUUCCAUGGGGCAUGGUCAGCAGCUGCGGAGCCCAUUCCUGUGUGCUCAUUGCAGGAUGUGUCAUUCUGGGAUGUGUCCUUAGCCUCUGCUUCCCCGCCAGCACCAUUUCACAGACUAUUUGGCCAGCAGAAAGGGCUUCAAACGGCUUAGCAGUCCCAGAACGGCAACGAAAUCUGCACGUGGAUGACUGAAAGACAGAUGGAGGGGCUGGCUGUGGAAGAAAAGCACCGCUUCUGCAAGGACGGAAGCAUAUGUUCUCAAGGUCUCCAGUUCGCCUAUGUGGGUUGGUCCGAAAGUUGUGACAUGCUGAGAAAGGCAUUUGCGCCCUGUUUUUAGCAGGAGCCACAUCCAAAAACGUGAAUUUCAAAGAGGAGAGACUGCAAAAUACUUACAGGCCACAGGGCAAGCUUUGCCAAAAGCUUUGCCAAAAGCUUUUUGCCCCAAAACCUCACUCUUUUUGGUGUGUGCCACAACAGCAAUAUUGGACAAGCCUGUGAGAUGCCAACAUCCCGGCUGUGGAAAAGUAGCACAUAAGGGGCAAAAGGGGGACAGGAGUCGAUAUUGUGUCACGCAGGCACGAACUGGACGUAUGAAAGCUGAAGCAGUGGUUGUGAAAAAUGCUUUUACAAGGAAAAAAAAUGAUAUAUUAACACACAGAGGAGGGAGGAAGUAAAAGUCCAUAAGGCAAUGGAAGGGUAAGUGAGCAAAAUGCCACUGCCAGGCCCCCCAGCUAUGGUAAGUGCUGGUACACGAUGGAUUAGGGCAAUACUAACAGGGGAGGAUUCCAUCCUGUCUGGUGCUCUGCCUACAACUGUGUCACUCUGCCCCUGAAAUUCAGCAGUAUUGUCCCUGACUGACCAUUGCACCAGCUUUGAACACCCUUCCAAAGGAUCUUGGCUUCAAAAUCUAAGCUUUGCACCCUUUCGCUGCAGAGCCAAUCUCUUCUGGUUGUGUUUCCGUCGGCGUUGCUCUGCAUCCACAAAAUGCAGUGCGACCUCUAUCACUCUCAGGCCCGGGGCACGUCCCCUUUCACUCGUGAAGAUGUGCAGACGUGCAGUGAUGUGGCACCAAAUAAAAUCUCUUGAUAGCCACGCACACGAUGCCAGCAUGUACACAUCCCACACGUGGGUAGCAAAGGGCAGCCCGCGGCCGCCAGCCAGCGUUUGGCUGGCGAGGUGACGUCUGAUGGAUGCGGCACCGGAUCAAGAGCGUGCACGCCAGAAAACAAGCAGGAGGAAGAUGUGGCGAGGAACGGCAGUGGGAGGACCUGGCAGGCGCCCGCAGGAGCUGAUUCAGAAGGGAGAUGCAGCCCCACCUGUUCUGCUGGGAGCCAACCUGCCCUGCACCGCGGCACCGCAGCGCUCAACGUGGGUUUAAUGACACCCAUUGCUCUGAAGGGAGGUAGUCCAAGCUGACUUGCAGUGAGAGCCGAGUGCCAGCCAGCUGCUGCUGAGCAGGACGGGGAUUUUGGCCUCGUGACAGAAAUUGCACCCUUGUGCAUGCCCAGGAAAUGAUGGGGUCCUAGAGUUCAACGAGAUGGGAAAUAAGCAUGAGAGUAACUAACAGGACUGUUAAAAAAUUAUAAUUAACAAAUAAUCUUGCCAUACAUCAUUCUUCCCAUUGUUUGUAAAUAAAAUAAGACUGUACUAAUAGAUGUGGAAUUUCUUAUACUCCUACCCUAUAUAGCUCUUACCAUCAUCCUGUAAGUGACUACGGCCCUUAGCACUCAGUCCUUUUCAACCUGUUGUUCACCACCUUGAUACUGGGCCUUGAAUUAAAACCUUAUUUCUGAUAAAUUGUGCCAUCAUGAAAAGA